GCGAAUAACCUAAAUUUGUUUUUUAGGUCUGGAAAUAUUCGUACAUCAACUUCAAUGAACAUUACUAGAUCUGCGCAACUUCAGAAAACUCCUAUAUCUUUUUUUUGCAUAUACCCACAAACCAGAGAACUCCUUUCUCACCUCCCUCACCCCAUAUCAUGUGUGUUCCUCGAUCUAGUUCAGUUCUCUCGAUCAUCAUGGUAACUGGUAAGCUAAUCUGAUCUGUUCUUUGCAUGUUUUCGAUCCUUAUGCUUGGUUUCUCCAUUCAUGGCAGCUCCAAAUCUCUGAAGGUAUGUAUGUUACUUACUUACUCCUCACGUAUAGAUUUCCAUUCUGAUACCAUAUUAGUGUUUUUGUCCAUAGAUAGUUAUAGAACACCAUUUAAUUAUUUCUGAUAGCUUAUAUAAGAUAGAUAGUUCAGACUUUCUGUGGUUCAAGAUUUAGUAAGAACACACAGUCUAAAUCGAGAUUUCCUGUACUUGUUCACACACAUAUCUACAGCUGCUUAAGUGUCUUUGUUGAUUGCAGCUGUAGAUUCUCUUCAUCUACAUCUGCACCACUGUUCAACCCUAAAUAUGAUGUCAUCCAUGCAGUUUGAUGAUAAUAAUAAUGAUAAUGAUAAUUUUUUUUGUGAGGGUUUAGGAGGAAACAGCAAAGGAGCUUACUUCAGUCCACUCAUGGAUGUUUACAGGAUUUGAAUUACCUGUCGACUCAUUCGUUCGAACAUGCAAUCAAUCGUAGCUGUCAAUUCGAUUGUGUGAAUGAGUGAAUGAUGCGGGAGAUAAUUCUUUCCUUGAUCAUCUUUCCAUGCUUGGACUGAAGGGUGCUCCCUCUCUCUUUUCUUCUCCAUCUUUUAUGGUUUUUUUUUUGUUUCGAGAUCCAGAAAUAUAUAUGGAGGAAACAGGAACCCUAAAAAGCAGGAAAUUAAACCUAGCAAGCAAUGUAAUUAAUAUCUGUCUCGAUCUAUGUGCAGUCUACCAUGGACCCCUUUUUUUGUUAACAGUAAAAUAACUGUUGACAGAACAGUGAGUUCUCGUCAACUGAUUCUUCAGCCAUGAGUAAAAACACAGACAUCUGCGUGGAAUGCUGGAAUCAGGUGAUCAACAGUGUUUUUUAUUUUUGCUCAGUGAGUCGUCUGUCUCUCUGUCAAUGGUGGUGCAAAAAGGAUCUAUAUGUAAUUUUUAAAAUAUUAGGAGCUGAAAUACAUAUCUGAAACUAUGUUUAAGAAAUUUUCUAUUUAUUUGUAUGAUAUUCCCAAUCGACAUCAUGGACCUAAAUAAAAAGUCAUCUACGGAAUGAGCCUGGAUUUGACCGGGUUCCUGUUCGGG
rnacentral:lncRNA from 1 species